rnacentral:rRNA from 1 species
GACGAACGCUGGCGGCGUGCCUAAUACAUGCAAGUCGAGCGGACUGAUGGGAGCUUGCUCCCUGAUGUUAGCGGCGGACGGGUGAGUAACACGUGGGCAACCUGCCCUAUAGUUGGGGAUAACUCCGGGAAACCGGGGCUAAUACCGAAUGAUACAAUUUAACUCCUGUUAGAUUGUUGAAAGAUGGUUUUGCUAUCGCUAUAGGAUGGGCCCGCGGCGCAUUAGCUAGUAGGUGAGGUAACGGCUCACCUAGGCGACGAUGCGUAGCCGACCUGAGAGGGUGAUCGGCCACACUGGGACUGAGACACGGCCCAGACUCCUACGGGAGGCAG